rnacentral:lncRNA from 1 species
UCUUUUACAACUGAACUAAACACAAUACAGCAUGGGUGCAAAAUUAAUAACUUGUGCAGUUUUAAUUCUAUUAUCUUGGCAAUUUUACAGAAUCAUGGCCGACAACGACCGCGUCGUAUUCCCGGACGAGGUUGAAGAUGUGAAGGCCAAAGUAGCAGAGGAGACCAAAGAAACUGCCACCAACUCAAUUGAAGAGCCCCCACCAGAACCCGCUCUAAGGAACAUGAUCCAAGUACCGCCAAAUUGUCCGCCAGGACAAAAAAUGGGCGCCGAUGGAAUUUGCCGUGACGUUUUCUAAAAGAUUCUACCUUACGACUUAUUUUUAUGUUAAAUUUUCAUCUGAAUUUCUAAUUAGUACCUACUGUGGUGAAAACAUUCGAAUGAACGUAGCAUUAAUCUAAAUUUUACAG